rnacentral:rRNA from 1 species
GAGAGUUUGAUCCUGGCUCAGGAUGAACGCUAGCGACAGGCCUAACACAUGCAAGUCGAGGGGCAGCAUUUCUAGCUUGCUAGAAGAUGGCGACCGGCGCACGGGUGAGUAACGCGUAUGCAACCUACCUUAUACUGGGGGAUAGCCCAAAGAAAUUUGGAUUAAUACCGCAUAACAUAUUUGAAUCGCAUGGUUUAAAUAUUAAAACUCCGGUGGUAUAAGAUGGGCAUGCGUAGCAUUAGUUUGUUGGUGAGGUAACGGCUCACCAAGACUAUGAUGCUUAGGGGGUCUGAGAGGAUAGUCCCCCACACUGGUACUGAGACACGGACCAGACUCCUACGGGAGGCAGCAGUGAGGAAUAUUGGUCAAUGGACGAAAGUCUGAACCAGCCAUGUCGCGUGCAGGAUGACGGCCCUAUGGGUUGUAAACUGCUUUUUUUACAGGAAGAAAGAUAAGUACGUGUAUUUAUUUGACGGUAGUAUAUGAAUAAGCAUCGGCUAACUCCGUGCCAGCAGCCGCGGUAAUACGGAGGAUGCGAGCGUUAUCCGGAUUUAUUGGGUUUAAAGGGUGUGUAGGCGGAUUUUUAAGUCAGUGGUGAAAUCUCUCGGCUCAACCGAGAAACUGCCAUUGAUACUGGAAGUCUUGAGUUUAGAUGAAGUAGGCGGAAUAUGUCAUGUAGCGGUGAAAUGCAUAGAUAUGACAUAGAACACCGAUAGCGAAGGCAGCUUACUAAUCUAUAACUGACGCUGAUGCACGAAAGCGUGGGUAGCGAACAGGAUUAGAUACCCUGGUAGUCCACGCCGUAAACGAUGUUCACUCGUUGUUGGCAAUACACCGUCAGCGACUAAGCGAAAGUGAUAAGUGAACCACCUGGGGAGUACGAUCGCAAGGUUGAAACUCAAAGGAAUUGACGGGGGCCCGCACAAGCGGAGGAGCAUGUGGUUUAAUUCGAUGAUACGCGAGGAACCUUACCUGGGCUUAAAUGUAUAUUGACAGUCAAAGAGAUUUGAUUUUCUUCGGACAAUUUACAAGGUGCUGCAUGGUUGUCGUCAGCUCGUGCCGUGAGGUGUCGGGUUAAGUCCCAUAACGAGCGCAACCCCUACCGUUAGUUGCCAUCAGGUCAAGCUGGGGACUCUAGCGGAACUGCCUGCGCAAGCAGAGAGGAAGGUGGGGAUGACGUCAAAUCAGCACGGCCCUUAUGUCCAGGGCUACACACGUGCUACAAUGGUCGGUACAGAGGGCAGCUACUUGGUGACAAGAUGCUAAUCUCUAAAGUAUGUCUCAGUUCGGAUCGGAGUCUGCAACUCGACUCCGUGAAGUUGGAUUCGCUAGUAAUCGUAUAUCAGCAAUGAUACGGUGAAUACGUUCCCGGGCCUUGUACACACCGCCCGUCAAGCCAUGGAAGCCGAGGGUACCUGAAGUCGGUGACCGCAAGGAGCUGCCUAAGGUAAAACUAGUAACUAGGGUUAAGUCGUAACAAGGUAGCCGUAG